GAGGAGCGGGCCGAGCGGCGGGCCGGAGGCGACGCGCGAUGUCGAGCGGGGCGGCGGGCAGCGCCGUGUCGGACCCCCAGCACCCGGCGCGGCUCCUGAGGGCGCUGAGCUCCUUCCGCGAGGAGGGCCGCUUCUGCGACGCCCACCUGGUGCUCGAGGGCGCGGAGAUCCCGGUGCAGACCAACAUCCUGGCGGCCGCCAGCCCGUACAUCAGAACAAAACUGAACUAUAAUCCUCCAAAAGAUGAUGGUUCCACAUAUAAAAUUGAACUUGAUGGGAUAUCUGUUGACAUUAUGAAAGAGAUAUUGGACUACAUCUUCAGUGGCCAGAUCAGGCUAAGUGAAGACACAAUUCAGGAUGUUGUACAAGCUGCUGAUCUGUUGCUGCUUACAGACCUAAAAACUCUAUGCUGUGAGUUCCUAGAAGGCUGCAUUGCUGCUGAAAACUGUAUUGGAAUUCGGGACUUUGCACUGCAUUAUUGCUUGCACCAUGUGCAUUAUCUUGCUUCGGAAUAUCUGGAAACGCACUUCCGGGAUGUCAGCAGUACAGAAGAGUUCCUGGAAUUGAGUCCUCAGAAAUUAAAAGAAAUACUGUCUUUAGAAAAGCUGAAUGUUGGAAAUGAAAGAUAUGUUUUUGAAGCAGUCAUUAGAUGGAUCUCCCAUGAUCCUGAAUUAAGAAAGGUUCACAUGAAGGAUGCAGUGUCAGCUGUGUGGGUAUCUGGGCUAGACUCUGCCUACCUGCGUGAGCAAAUGAUGAGCGAGCCAUUGGUACGGGAGAUUGUCAAGGAAUGUAGCAACAUCCCACUCACGCAGCCCCAGCAGGGGGAGGCAAUGCUAGCCUCUUUCAAACCUAGAGGAUACUCGGAGUGCAUUGUGACAGUUGGCGGUGAAGAAAGAGCAUCCCGGAAACCAUCAGCAGUAAUGCGAUGCAUGUGCCCCCUUUAUGACCCCAACAGACAGCUGUGGAUAGAACUAGCCCCUCUGAGUACUCCCAGAAUAAAUCACGGCGUGCUUUCAGCAGAAGGGUUCCUGUUUGUGCUUGGAGGUCAAGAUGAAAAUAAAGUCACUUUGAGCUCUGGAGAAAAAUAUGAUCCAGACACUAAUUCAUGGAGCUCGUUGCCACCAAUGAAUGAGGCACGGCACAACUUUGGUUUGGUAGAAAUUGAUGGAGUUUUGUAUGUUCUGGGAGGUGAAGAUGGCGAACAGGAGCUCAUCUCUAUGGAAUCCUAUGACAUUUAUAAUAGGACGUGGACAAAACAACCAGACCUGACCAUGAUUAGAAAGAUUGGUUGCUAUGCAGCUAUGAAGAAGAAGAUCUAUGCAAUGGGUGGUGGUUCCUAUGGCAAGCUCUUCGAAUCUGUUGAGUGUUACGACCCAAAGAUCCAGCAAUGGACAGCUAUCUGUCCACUAAAAGAGAGAAGGUUUGGAGCUGUGGCAUGUGGAGUUGCUUCAGAGCUCUAUGUGUUUGGUGGGGUGAGAAGUCGUGAUGAUAAUCAAUCCAGCGAGAUGGUGACCUGUAAAUCAGAGUUCUAUCAUGAUGAAUUCAAAAGGUGGAUCUACUUAAACGAUCAGAAUUUAUGCAUCCCAGCCAGUUCUUCAUUUGUAUAUGGAGCUGUGCCCAUUGGUGCUAGCAUUUAUGUGAUUGGAGAUCUUGAUACAGGUACCAAUUAUGAUUAUGUUCGGGAGUUUAAAAGAAGCACUGGAACAUGGCAUCACACGAAGCCGCUCUUUCCAUCAGAUCUUCGCCGUACUGGAUGUGCAGCUUUGCGUAUAGCAAACUGCAAGCUUUUCCGGCUCCAGCUUCAACAAGGGUUGUUCCGCAUCCGUGUUCCUUCACCUUGAGAGCGUGUCAGAAAGCUGAAGAGAUGGGAGGAACCUGAGAGUCCACUAUAACCAUAUAGCUUUAUGUAAGGGGGAAACAAACAUCUUGCAGCAGGAUCUCAAACUGUAUGCUCAGCUCUGAUGGGUUUUCUCAAGUUGCAUCUCAGUUCCUAAGAUGAUGUUAGUCAAGAACUAUGAAACGAUUACUGUAUGUUUUCAAGAGGUCCUGUCUCAAUUCCAUAGCUAUGAAGCAAGGUAAGAUAGGCUGCCAAUAGCCAAACAUAAUGAAGGCUGGAAGUUAAUGAGAAAGAAACUGAAAAUUUGUCAAGCUACUUAAAAUUCUUAUGCAAAAGAAGGGAUGCAAACCAUGGUGUUAAACACAUCAUUAUGCCUUUAGUGUUUUUUGAAACCCCGGCACUUUUUUAAAAUGGCUGUUGCUUGCCUAGACUUGCCACAAAAGGGAGAAGAGAUGGGACCACUUCUGCCCUAUGCUGCUGUUUCAUGAAAAAUCACCUUCUUCAAGCUGCUGUUUGCCCUGAAACAGUAAAUAACAUAAAAGAUGGUGAUUCUUUUAGCAAGCAAACAGCACUGGGUGACUCCCCCCCCCACACACACACACACAUACACACUGUGCUUGUUUUCUGGAUUGAGAUCUUCUCAUAGCUGCUGUUUUUCAAAAGUGAAAUGACAGUGUUCAACAUUACAUCUAGUUUACAUCUACCUUGAGUAGGUUUUCUACUAUUACGCAUAGGCAGUUGAAGGGGAAGUGACUGUCAUCGAGAGGAACACCUGAGGUUCCUUUUCUCAGCAGUGAACAAUAUUAACACAGCCUUCUGCUCGACUAGAGAACUCCUCUGGUAAGCUUUGGGAAGGAAAGCACUAUUUUGAACUGUCAGUCAUAUUUUUGUUUUAAAAUUUUGAAUUACCUACUUCCACCCCUUACAGUUAAUGCACACUUACCGUGAAUUCAAAUACUUUUUUGUGCAUUUCUAUACAAAUCCAUAAUGGGUGAAAGUAUUACAAGAUGACGAUUCUUAUUGUGUUCAUUUUAUACUACCCCGUAGACAAAGCUCUCUUUUUAUGUAUUUCUGUGAUGAGGGGAUUAUAAACAAUAAUAUCUUUAAACCUCCUUAUUCGACUUACCGUUUGUCUUGGAGCUAUGCAAUUUUGGGUUGUGUACUUUUCUGGAAAGGGCUAUAUAGACAGGAGAAAUUCCUUUUAAAUAUGUGUGCUUCCUACAAGGGCAGCCCACAGGGAGUUAGUGAAGUAAUUGUGAUUCGGUGGCAACACUCACUGGUUUGCAUCCUGUUGACGGUUUAGCAUUUCCAGUCAGAACGACAAGCUUCGGGUCAAAAGGCAGCUCUGCAUUUGUUUCAGGCGAAAUGACUUAACACAGAUAUGUGUAGGCAGGCAGACUGGCUUGUCAUAUUUCGUGUUUGGGCUACAAGUUCUUGUGAACAUAUUGUAAGAUCAGCACAUUAGCCUCUGGACAAAUAAGUCCUUUGUGAGGUUUGUUGUAUUGGUAUUGCUUUAUUAGUAUUUUGGUCAACUUGAAUGAAAUUCAUAGUAGUUAUGCUCUGACGUUCGUGUUAAUCCGAAAAUUACAAUCCAGAGAAACUUGAUACACAUCUAAGCUUUGUUGAAAUAAAUGGAAAAAAUACUGUAAGUUUAUAUAUGCACCUCUUUUAAUGAGAUAUGAACACACCUAAUUUUCUUUCUUUCAGCCCUUUUCAGAUGGGCUCAAAAAAAAAAAAUUAGAUUUAAAUCUCUUGGUUCUUUUACUGAUUGAAAGAUGUAUUCGAUUCUAGGUUUUACGUUUUUGUGAUUUUGUUCACAUGCAGCCAGCCAAAAGGUAAUUCAAUGUUUCUUAUGCUUCCAACACAUACACAGUGUGUACUAAUAGCAAACAGGUUAUUUAAGGAAACGUACAAUUUUGUACUUGUCAAAAGUGGCCUUUUUUGGGAAAGCACACAGUAUAUAGAUUAACAUUGUGUUGAUGUGUAAUUUCAGAGGAUUUUUCUUUUUUGUAUUGACAGAAUUUAUAUGCAUUUUUUUCAAGCUAAUAAGCUCUUUCUUUAGAGGUAUACAGGUUAAACGGGCCAAAAGUCUACAUUUCCAUUACUCUCCAUAUGUAUUGCGAAUAGCUCCAUGUUCUUCAUCACUGGGGAAUGAACACAAGGACCAUUCUCUAGCAGUGAAGAAUUAUUAUUAUUAAUAUUAUUAUAUUACAUUUCUAGAGUGGACUGCCUGCUACCACAGGAUUUGUAUACAAUAUGAGCUUCACAAAGUGUUUGGUUAGAACUAUUGCUUUGCAGAUUAUGAGGCUCUUAAUCUUUUUUUUUAAUAUCCAUAUAAGCAGGAUAGUUUAUUGUAGGCACAAAAUAAAACUUUUAGACACUAGUUGUAGAGAACAAUCACAGAAGCGCUUGGGAGCUGAUGAGAGAGAUUUGUAGCUGAGGGGUUGGGUUGCCAGACCCCAGCAAUUUAGACAAACAAGUUGUUGCUGUACAUGACACAAAUGUAUAAGAUUUAGUCUGUUCAUCCAUUGAUGUUUACAGUUUAACUGCUGGAUUUUGGAAAGCUCUUUUUUUGCCAUAGCUGCAGUUAUGAAGCUGUCUUUAAUGUUUAACAUGAACCAUCCAAAAUCACUAAUGAGGUGGGGAUUGGAAUUUGACAAGAAGCCCUAAGUGUACGAAGUUCCAUAUGUGGAUAUCUUCCAUGAGUUAGUGCACAAUUUAUUUUAGUCAGUGGAUUUCAUUAGAUGUAGUUUGAGAAAAGGUUCGUUCAAAUUGCAAGCUGAAUAAUUAAAUGAUUAAUGCGGGAACAUAUUUCAGGGCUAAUUGUAACAACGAGAUACGGAUGUAUCUUAAGUUCUUUGUGCAAUGCGACAGUACAGUUGUUUGCAAUUCUAAAACUGUAAAUUGCCAAUAUUAAUAAUACCCUUGACGCUGUCAGCACUAAUACAAUAUCCUCUGCAAACUGUAAAGGAAGUGUUACUUUUGUUUUGUCAACGCGGUUUGUUCAGGUGUCAUACUUCUCCACAGUGAACUCCUAGAAAUUAAAUACACCAUCAUACUUGUUGCCGAAGAUUAAACUAAAAUGUGAAAAUAUAGGUAGGGAUUAUGAAGUGCCAUAGAAAAUAGUUUUGUAUGGAGUCAGUCCCAGACAGGGGACUUUCUACAUUGACUGACAGCAGCUUUCUGAAGAUCUCAGGUUGACUUUGCCAGCUGAGAUUCUGUCACCACCUGCCUAGAAAAUCAUGCAGGAGGAGUUUCAUGGAGCUCUUCCUAGAAAGCUGCUAUUUGUGUACCUACUCCUUGUUUACCUUUUGCAAUUUAUUGACUAGUGUUGGUCUGCAUACUACGGUCGUUUUUCCCGUCAUGGAGUGAACCCUAUCCCCAUAAUUGCUUUCCCUCCCCACAAAAAUAAGUGAUUCAGAACUAGCAAAAUCUGCCAAAGGAUUCCCAAUCAAUAGGAUUCCCUAUUGUUAUGACAUCUGAACAAAUCUAUAGUUAACUGUGUGUAGCUUGUUUGGGGGUUUUGUCCUUUUUUUGUGGCUUAAGGGAUGCUUUAACCCUUAAUAACCUGGACUUCAAAACAGAAUCUAUAUAAGAACUGCUAUGAAUGUUGUGCAUGCUAACUUGUAUGGUUAUAUUUGAAGAAAAUAAUGUGCAAUUUUAACAGCACUUUGUGAUCGGUUAGUAAAACUGGGCUUUGCAAUGGAACAUGUGAUAUUAAUGCGUAAUGAAUAAGUAGUGUUGUCUGUACUGUUUGUAUAUCCUUUUCAAGUGUUUCAGCAAUGACUUUUUCAUGGGACCCUGAUAAAUCACACUUAAUUUUUAUUAAUUAAUUUUGAGAAAUGGUGGCUCGAUCCAGUGAUACACCCACAGAACUCAAUAACUGCAGGGGCUUCCCCAUCGUAAGACAAGUGAAAUGCUAAUAAUUUAACAAUAGUUACAGAACUGCUCCAGGGCUCGGGGAAGUCCAAACCAUUAGGCAGUGUCCAUUCUUUCUGUCUGUCCAAAUAGGAACGCUUCAAAAGCUUCUGGAAAACUUUCCCUGGGAUAGAAAAGUUGCUUGAUUUGAGCACUGUGGGGGCACCAUCAACCCCCCCCCCCCCGCCACAUACUGCUCUGCCUUUUUUGUCACUCUUCAGUCAUGGAACAGAUGAGAGCUCUGCAUGAGUCAGAAGGUUCAGGGUGCUGGAUCAUGCCCCGUGUAUGCAAAUUGUUUGUUUUAGGAUCGUCUCGUCUGCCCUUGUGUUCACCAGUUCGUUUUCAUGGAAGAUCUGACAUAACAGCAAUUUUUUAAAAAUUAGAAUUACUUUAUUCACAUUUGUAUACUUUUGAGGUUUACAUAUUCUAACAAUGCGAAAAAAGGAUACAAAAUGGUUCAUGGAAUAAGUAGCACUUUGUUUACAUGUUCUGUAUAAUGUUGGGCAAAUAAAGGGUUUUUAAUUUUUUAUUUUAAUUUAAAGCACAUGGAUUGUGCUGUGGGGGCUUCGUAGCCACUGUGCAAAUUGUGGCGUAAUAUUGUACUAAGGAUCAGUGAAAGUGUGUUAUCUUUUUUAAUGUAGUUUGUAUUGAUCGGGUUUUAUAAAAUGUAUGAAAAAGAGUGUUGUAUUUUGAUCUGACAUUUGUGUAUGGUAAAGUCACUUUGCUUUAUGUUUUGGAGGUUUGUUGAAAACUUGAACUAUUUUAUAGAAGGGUGCAGACCAAAAUUGAGUUGUCUUGAAGAUGUUUAACGAACUAACCAAAUAAACAUUUUAUGGUUUGCAUACA